rnacentral:rRNA from 1 species
AUUGAACGCUGGCGGCAUGCCUUACACAUGCAAGUCGAACGGCAGCACGGGGCAACCUGGUGGCGAGUGGCGAACGGGUGAGUAAUGCAUCGGAACGUACCUUUCAGUGGGGGAUAACGUAGCGAAAGUUACGCUAAUACCGCAUAUUCUGUGAGCAGGAAAGCAGGGGAUCGCAAGACCUUGCGCUGAUUGAGCGGCCGAUGUCAGAUUAGCUAGUUGGUGAGGUAAAGGCUCACCAAGGCGACGGUCUGUAGCGGGUCUGAGAGGAUGAUCGGCAACACUGGAACUGAGACACGGUCCAGACUCCGACGGGAGGCAGCAGUGGGGAAUUUUGGACAAUGGGGGCAACCCUGAUCCAGCCAUGCCGCGUGAGUGAAGAAGGCCUUCGGGUUGUAAAGCUCUUUCGGCCGGGAAGAAAUCGCACGGGCUAAUACCCUGUGUGGAUGACGGUACCGGAAUAAGAAGCACCGGCUAACUACGUGCCAGCCGCCGCCGUAAUAC